rnacentral:rRNA from 1 species
AGCUCCAAUAGCGUAUAUUAAAGUUGUUGCAGUUAAAAAGCUCGUAGUCGGAUUCGAGGCGCCGGCGGGCGGUCCCUCCUUUCGCGAGGGUUCUACUGCCCUGACCGGCCCUGAGACCGCCGGCGUGCGGCUGGUGCCCUUGACUGGAGUGCCAGCAGCGGCCGGAACGUUUACUUUGAAGAAAUUAGCGUGUUCAAAGCAGGCGCUCGGGCCUGAAUGGUGGUGCAUGGAAUAAUGGAAGAGGACCCCGGUCCUAUUCUGUUGGUCUUAAGGACUCGGGGUAAUGAUCGAGAGGGACGGACGGGGGCAUUCGUAUUGCGGUGUGAGAGGUGAAAUUCUUAGAUCGCCGCAAGACGGGCUGCUGCGAAAGCGUCUGCCAAGAACGUUUUCAUUGAUCAAG